rnacentral:rRNA from 1 species
UGCCAGCAGCCGCGGUAAUACGGAGACUGCGAGCGUUACUCGGAUUCACUGGGCGUAAAGGGUGCGUAGGCGGACAAGUGUGUCAGGUGUGAAAGCCCAGAGCUCAACUCUGGAACUGCGCCUGAAACUGCUUGUCUUGAGUGUCGGAGAGGUAAGCGGAAUUCCUAGUGUAGCGGUGAAAUGCGUAGAUAUUAGGAGGAACACCAAAGGCGAAGGCAGCUUACUGGACGAAUACUGACGCUGAGGCACGAAAGCGUGGGGAGCUAAAAGGAUUCGAUA